rnacentral:tRNA from 1 species
CGCGAGGUGAGCAGUUGGUAGCUCGUCGGGCUCAUAACCCGAAGGUCGGAGGUUCAAAUCCUUCCCCCGCAACCA